UCAGUGUUUACUUCAGUUAAGGGAAGCCUCUCAGUUCUAGUAAUUAAACUUCCAGACACUGACAUUGACUGAGGGAAAUGACUGAAUAGAGAGUACUACAAUACUCGUAUACUUCUCACAUAGAU
rnacentral:snoRNA from 1 species